AUUGAACGCUGGCGGCAUGCUUUACACAUGCAAGUCGAACGGUAACAGGCCUUCGGGUGCUGACGAGUGGCGAACGGGUGAGUAAUGCAUCGGAACGUACCCAGAGGUGGGGGAUAACGCAGCGAAAGCUGUGCUAAUACCGCAUGUGAUCUGAGGAUGAAAGCGGGGGACCGAGCAGCAAUGUUUGGCCUCGCGCCUUUGGAGCGGCCGAUGUCGGAUUAGCUAGUUGGUGGGGUAAAGGCCUACCAAGGCGACGAUCCGUAGCUGGUCUGAGAGGACGACCAGCCACACUGGAACUGAGACACGGCCCAGACUCCUACGGGAGGCAGCAGUAGGGAAUUUUGGGCAAUGGGCGCAAGCCUGAUGCAGCAAGGCCGCGUGCGGGAAGAAGGCCUUCGGGUUGUAAACCGCUGUUGUCAGGAACGAAACGGUGUCCGCUAAUACCGGGCGCUAAUGACGGUACCUGCAGAAUAAGCACCGGCUAACUACGUG
rnacentral:rRNA from 1 species